rnacentral:lncRNA from 14 species
GGGCGGCGCGGCCCGGCCGGGAGAUGGCGCAUGGCGGGGGCGGGGCCUCGGCGGGGCGGGGCCUCGGCGGGGCCAAUGGGUGAGGAGGGGCGGGGAUUGAAGGGGGAGGGGCGGCGUGGGGCGACGAGGAGCGCGCGGAUUGGGCAGGUGGGCGGGGAUUGGAGAGGCCACGCCCAUGUGUGGCGGCAAGGGACGGACAGAGGGACACGGGAGGGACAGGGGGACACGGGGGGGGACAGGGGGACACGGGGGGGACACGGGGGCGUUGUUACCGUUCUGAGGGACACCCCGGGCUGGGGGCCACCCCCUCCUUUGGGAGCAGCUGUGUCCCCACGUGGGGACAUCGCCCUGGAGGGGAUUGUCACCCUCUGAGGGACAUUGUUCUUCCGGGGGCCACCAACCCAUCUGGGGACACUGCCAUCGGGCUGGGGGACAUCAGCACUGGCUGUCCCCACUGUCCUCCAUGGGGACACCACCCUGGAGGGCAUCAUCACCCUCUGAGGGACAUCACCACUGGUUGAUCCCAUUGUCCUCCAUGGGGACACCACCCUGGAGGGGAUUGUCACCCUCUGAGGGACAUCACCACUGGUUGAUCCCAUUGUCCUCCAUGGGGACACCACCCUGGAGGGCAUCAUCACCCCCUGAGGGACAUCACCACUGGUUGAUCCCAUUGUCCUCCAUGGGGACACCAUCCUGGAGGGGAUUGUCACCUCCUUGGUGACACCAGCCCAGCCGGGGACAUCACCAUUGGGUUGAUCCCACUGUCCUCCAUGGGGACACCACCCUGCAUGGCACUGCCACCCUCCUUGGUGCCACCAUCCCAUCUGGGGACAUCGCCAUUGCAUUGCACCCGUUGUCCUUGACGGGGACACCACUCUGGAGGGGAUUGUCACCCUCUGAGGGACAUCAUCCUUCCCCAGGGCCACCAGUCCAGCCGGGGACAUCGCCAUUGCAUUGCACCCAUUGUCCUUGACGGGGACACCACCCUGGAGGGGACUGUCACCCUCCCUGGUGCCACUACUCCAGCUGGGGACAUCACCAAUGGUUGUCCCCAUUGUCCUCUAUGGGAACAUGAACCUGGAGGGCACUGUCACCGUCUAAGGGACAUCAUCCUUCCCCAGGGCCACCAGUCCAGCCGGGGACAUCGCCAUUGGGCUGGGGGACAUCGCCAUUGGGUCGAUCCCACUGUUCUCCAUGGGGACACCACUCUGGAUGGCAUUGUCACCUCCCUGGUGACAUUGCCAUUGGGUCGAUCCCAUUGUCCUCCAUGGGGACACUGCUCCAG